rnacentral:rRNA from 1 species
UACGUAGGUGGCAAGCGUUGUCCGGAAUUAUUGGGCGUAAAGCGCGCGCAGGCGGCUUCUUAAGUCUGAUGUGAAUCUCGGGGCUCAACCCCGAGCGGCCAUUGGAAACUGGGAAGCUUGAGUACAGAAGAGGAGAGUGGAAUUCCACGUGUAGCGGUGAAAUGCGUUAGAUAUGUGGAGGAACACCAGUGGCGAAGGCGGCUCUCUGGUCUGUAACUGACGCUGAGGCGCGAAAGCGUGGGGAGCAAACAGG